rnacentral:rRNA from 1 species
UUGACCUCGGAUCAUGGA